rnacentral:rRNA from 1 species
AGGCCCUUCGGGGUACUCGAGCGGCGAACGGGUGAGUAACACGUGAGUAAUCUGCCCCAGGCUCUGGGAUAGCCACCGGAAACGGUGAUUAAUACCGGAUACGACAACCGAUUGCAUGAUCUGGUUGUGGAAAGUUUUUCGGCCUGGGAUGUGCUCGCGGCCUAUCAGCUUGUUGGUGAGGUAAUGGCUCACCAAGGCUUCGACGGGUAGCCGGCCUGAGAGGGUGACCGGCCACACUGGGACUGAGACACGGCCCAGACUCCUACGGGAGGCAGCAGUGGGGAAUAUUGGACAAUGGGCGGAAGCCUGAUCCAGCAACGCCGCGUGAGGGAUGACGGCCUUCGGGUUGUAAACCUCUUUCAGCACAGACGAAGCGCAAGUGACGGUAUGUGCAGAAGAAGGACCGGCCAACUACGUGCCAGCAGCCGCGGUAAUACGUAGGGUCCGAGCGUUGUCCGGAAUUAUUGGGCGUAAAGGGCUCGUAGGCGGUCUGUCGCGUCGGGAGUGAAAACCAGGUGCUUAACACCUGGCCUGCUUUCGAUACGGGCAGACUAGAGGUACUCAGGGGAGAAUGGAAUUCCUGGUGUAGCGGUGAAAUGCGCAGAUAUCAGGAGGAACACCGGUGGCGAAGGCGGUUCUCUGGGAGUAUCCUGACGCUGAGGAGCGAAAGUGUGGGGAGCGAACAGGAUUAGAUACCCUGGUAGUCCACACCGUAAACGUUGGGCGCUAGGUGUGGGACA